rnacentral:lncRNA from 1 species
GUUAGAUGUGCCUUCCACCUUCCGCCAUGAUUGUGAGGCCUCCCCAGCCAUAUGGAACUUGUUUCUUAAGAAUGAUACUCUGAAUGAAGUAAAGAAGACAGUACCAGCGCGGUUCCAAGAUGGCCGAAUAGGAACAGCUCCAGUCUACAGCUCUCAGCGUGAGCGAUGCAGAAGACGAAUGAUUUCUGCAUUUCCAACUGAGGUACCGGGUUC